rnacentral:piRNA from 1 species
UCUUUAUAUUUUAUCCUCGCUCAGAGGCAGC